CGUAGGGUGCGAGCGUUAAUCGGAAUUACUGGGCGUAAAGCGUGCGCAGGCGGUUUGUUAAGAUAGGCGUGAAAUCCCCGGGCUCAACCUGGGAACUGCGCUUAUGACUGGCAAGCUAGAGUACGGCAGAGGGGGUGGAAUUCCACGUGUAGCAGUGAAAUGCGUAGAGAUGUGGAGGAACACCAAUGGCGAAGGCAGCCCCCUGGGUCGAUACUGACGCUCAUGCACGAAAGCGUGGGUAGCAAACAGGAUUAGAUACCCUGGUAGUCCACGCCUAAACGAUGUCAACUAGGUGUUGGGAGGGUAAAACCUUUUAGUACCGGAGCUAACGCGUGAAGUUGACCGCCUGGGGAGUACGGCCGCAAGGUUA
rnacentral:rRNA from 1 species